AGUGAACGCUGGCGGCGUGCUUAACACAUGCAAGUCGAACGAGAACGGGCUAUAGCUUGCUAUAGUUGUCAACUAAGUGGCGCACGGGUGAGUAAUGUAUAGGCAAUAUGCCUCUUACUAAGGGAUAACAAAUGGAAACGUUUGCUAAUACCUUAUACUCCUUAUUAACAGAAGUUAAUAAGUGAAAGAUUUAUUGGUAAGAGAUUAGCCUGUAUUGUAUCAGUUAGUUGGUGGGGUAAUGGCUUAACAAGACUAUGACACAUAACUGGUUUGAAAGUGUGAUAAGUCGCACUGGAACUGGAACACGGACCAGACUCCUACAGGAGGCAGCAGUGGGGAAUAUUGCACAAUGGACGAAAGUCUGAUGAAGCAACCCCGCGUGGAGGGUGAAACAUUUCGAUGCGUAAACUCCUUUUAUAUGAGAAGAUAAUGACGGUAUUAUAUGAAUAAGCACCGGCUAACUCCGUGCCAGCCGCCGCCGUAA
rnacentral:rRNA from 1 species